UUCGGUCUGUUCAAACAUGAUUAACUCAGUGAAGAUGGAUUUUUCAGUCCUGCUGAGAUGCGAUGGUAAUGAGAUAGGUUAAUUCGGGAUACUGGAUUAGCUGAUUCUUUCCAGCAGAAGUGAUUCUGCCGGAGGAGACGAACAUCGUCAACAAUACCUUGCAGUGUAUCAUCAUAGAGAAGUCAAAUGCAGAAUCCUUGUGGUCGGCGUAGAAUAGACGCUUGCAGUGCAAGAAUAAUCCGGUGAUGUGAAGAUGGUGUGAGAGACCACAGGCUAGCUGGAAAUCUCAAAUAAGCUGAUUUGCCUUGAAUCUGAGAAAUCAGAGUAUAACACAAGAAAUUCGUUAAAGUAGCGGUAUGGCAAGUUCUUCAAUAAGCAGUUUUUCGAUGUUAGCAUAUGGAAUAAGGAAUGCAAGUAGAAAAAACAUGAUCUGAAAGAACCGUGAAAUUUAUGGGUAUCAAUCCCAUGUGUGCUUUGACCGUGGUAAGAAGCAAAGGGUCGCCCCCGGACGCUCAGACUUAUCAUCACACUGGCAGAAUAUGGCUUCUACCUUGAUGAAUAAGGGGAAACCCUAAUCAUGUUUGAAGAUGUGA
rnacentral:sRNA from 12 species